rnacentral:rRNA from 1 species
GUGGGGAAUCUUAGACAAUGGGCGCAAGCCUGAUCUAGCCAUGCCGCGUGAGCGAUGAAGGCCUUAGGGUUGUAAAGCUCUUUCAGUGGGGAAGAUAAUGACUGUACCCACAGAAGAAGCCCCGGCUAACUCCGUGCCAGCAGCCGCGGUAAUACGGAGGGGGCUAGCGUUGUUCGGAAUUACUGGGCGUAAAGCGCACGUAGGCGGACUGGAAAGUCAGGGGUGAAAUCCCGGGGCUCAACCCCGGAACUGCCUUUGAAACUCCCAGUCUUGAGGUCGAGAGAGGUGAGUGGAAUUCCGAGUGUAGAGGUGAAAUUCGUAGAUAUUCGGAGGAACACCAGUGGCGAAGGCGGCUCACUGGCUCGAUACUGACGCUGAGGUGCGAAAGCGUGGGGAGCAAACAGGAUUAGAAACCCGGGUAGUCC